ensembl:misc_RNA Y_RNA Y RNA
GGCUGGUCCGAUGGUAGUGGGUUAUCAGAACUUAUUAACGUUAGUGUCUCUAAAGUUGGUAUACAACCCCCCCCACUGCUAAAUUUGACUGGCUUAAA